UACGGAGGGUGCGAGCGUUGUCCGGAAUCACUGGGCGUAAAGGGCGCGUAGGUGGCCUGUGGAAGUCUGCGGUGAAAGCCCGGCGCUCAACGCCGGGUCGGCCGUGGAUACUCUCGGGCUUGAGCUUACUAGAGGCAGAUGGAACUCCGAGUGUAGAGGUGAAAUUCGUAGAUAUUCGGAAGAACACCAGUGGCGAAGGCGACUCACUGGACAACUGUUGACGCUGAGGUGCGAAAGCGUGGGGAGCAAACAGG
rnacentral:rRNA from 1 species